UAACUGAAUUUGGCUCUUUUUUAUCAAGCCAUUCAAUGCAUGAGUGCCUACCCUUUGAAUCUUUCUUCUCAAUGGUUAAAGGGUUGAAGGGUCCCACUGCCCAAUGCUUCUUACUACAAGUGAUUUUUUCUAUCAACUCCAUGUAAGUACUUUCAAUUGCUCUGCUUGUAUUAUAGAUGUUUCCAUCAUUUAAUUUAAGGAAUUCCUUUUGUGCAGCAAUGAAAUCAAUGAUUUGGGGUAUGAAGCAUCCUUCCAAAGAAGGAAAUUGUAGAAUAUGUGAGGUUUGUAGUGGAGGUUUUCCCAUUUUCUCCCAAAAGAAAGAGAAAACUGUAAAAGCACAAGUACUAUGAAAUGUGUAAUUCUCAACAUUUUCUAUGUUUGCAGCAUCUUGUACAACUGAUGCCAUUAAAGAGUCAUGAAUCACAACCACCCUUUUGAAAACAGGUGAAAGUGAUUGCAUGAGUUCUUUCACAUGCUCACGAAGAUGUGAAGAGGCUUCAAAAGAAGGAAUCAAAUGAGAAGGG
rnacentral:lncRNA from 1 species